CGAGCUGGGGUUAUUUCUGGCGCUGGCUUGACUCCAAGAAGGCAUCUGCAUUGGUGACCAGUGGUGACAGCGGAACCAGGUCUGUCCCAGCCGCUGCCGCAGCCCCGGAGCGCCCACCGCAGGCUGGCGGCGGAGCUCCCGCAUCCCAGCAUCACUGUUGACCUCCACAGUGAAGGAAGAUGAGUGAGUCCAGCUCCAAGUCCAGCCAGCCCUUGGCCUCCAAGCCAGAAAAGGACGCUACUGAGAAGCUAGGCCGGCGGGGGAGGGGGGGAGCAGGCCAUGCAAGCAGCCUCCGAAGGAACCCAGUGAAGUGCCAAGGUCUAAGAGACUUCGGGGGCCCACCAGAGGGAGCAAAAACAAGGGUGCUGCCGGAAAACCAUCACAGCUCCAGGGAGGAGACCAAGGGGCAGACCCAAAAAACUGGAGAAGGAGGAAGAGGGCAUCUCGCAGGAGUCCUCGGAGGAGGAGCAGUGCCGACUGCACCCUGGCCAGGAGCAGCUUCCCUCUGGGACUGUGCAGCUUCGUCCAGCUCCCACAGCCCCCUCCCCUAAUCCCCCCAAACUGCCUCCUGUCCCCUUGCGCCCUCCCCACGCACACUACAGCACACCAGCGCUGCAGGGCUCCUGUGGCGAGUGGGGAGUGCUUUCCUCCACCUCCCAGCGCCCUUCCAGCCAUGCACACCUGCCUCUCCCAGACAAGGCUAACUUCCCACUUAGCCGCAGCAUGCACCUGCUGCACCCCCCACUCCCUUGUGGAGAAAUUGCUCUCUGAG